UUUCUAUAAGCUAAAACAUAGCAUAUCACUGUUAAUGAUAAGGGUGGAAUUAUCCUAUAGGAAA
rnacentral:tRNA from 1 species